GGGGAGGAGACAGUGGGAAAGAUUUGUUCUGCAUUUAAGCCUGAAUUAGCAGGUUUGUUUUGUUUACUGUUAUUUAAAAGUUACUUUAUUAAAAAAUGUAUUUUUAUUAAUGCUUGUUGGUGUACUGUGAUGCUGUUAAACACAGUAACAAACAAAGAAAAAGUGGUGCUCUGCGUUGUAAACUUAACCAGGAGUUGAGGUCUGGUUUCUGUGUCUGCUUUCUGACCAAGGAGAUGAGCUGUACUCGUUGCUUUGGCUGGCAUGCUUUGCUUCAUUAUCUGUACAGGACAGGACAGAGAAUCUUCCCUUUUCCAGUCAUACGUGACGUAAGAGCCCAGCAGAAUGACCCUACUGGUGGCAUCCAUCCCGGUUCUUGGCUGAGCAUGGAGUUUCUUAUGGUUCAGAGCUUAGUGUUACAAGGGAAUAAAAUACUUCUCACUAAAUAAUAGUGAAAACACAGAAGGAGGCAUUUAGUUCAGGGCAUACAAGCUAUUGUCCUCCCCUUGCCCAGAAAGCAACAUAUAUUAAAUAGAAGAUGUCUUCCUUGCACUCUAGCUAGAUCAGUGUUAUUUCUUCCAAAAUACUGCUGCUUCUAAUCCUAGAGAUAAAAACAUAGCUCAGCGUCAGUAGAUAACUCCUCCUCUUGGGCUUUUCUGUCCUCGUCCAAUAGUUCUUAGCUUUGUUAGGAGAGGAAGGCUUUCGUUAUCCCCAGAAGCUUAAAUUGCUUUGCUGGCAAAUCUGGUUCAUUGAAGAACCCGAGGAUGAAGAGCAGAUAGGGAAGGAACAGCAAAUAAUUUCAGAUUACCUUCAUAGCCUCCUGUUGUUAGGAUGUCAGUGUCAUACAUCACCUAUAUGGCAAACAUGUCUUACACUGAGAUAUUUCUUUUUUUAUUUAACUGUUAGGAAAUGUAUUAAUUUUGCAUAGGAUUUUUUUUAAUUGUUGGACUCAUCUUUGAAAUAUAGCCAGGAUGUUGAGAGGUUGAAUUCUCAGCAUCCACUUGAGAAGGAUGAGUAUUAAAGGAUCACACUUUUUUUUUUAUCCAGUUCUGUAGAAAAUAGUGCCCUUUUCCACUUUUUAAUAUGGCACUGCUGUGCUUUGAAUGCUGUUACCUCACACCAGAGAGCUGCUAAGAAUGCUAGAUUAAGCAGUACUCUCCGUAACUGUGGGCUCUGAUUUAACACUGUUCACACUCCUUUUGAUGAGCGUGGAGUGGAUUCAGUUACUGUAAACAUGGGUUUUCCAAGAUGGUCUAUAGGAGUAGAAAGAAGGUUAAUGAACCAGUUGUGGAGGGGAAGGGGCGGGGGGGGUGGGGUGAGAAAGCUUCUCUAAUUGACAAAAGGUCUGUAGGGAGUCAGCUAGACUGCACGCAGUUGAGGCAAGCAGGCUGUGGUCUGUGAUCUUGGAUGGUGGUUAGUUACUGAUGACUGUAUUAGGCAUUCUGAUGUCUGAAAGACAGCUGCAGUGUGCUUAGCUCUUAGCAGAGGGUUUUUUUUUUCCUUCUGCAGCAGUCAGACUUUCAGGGUACCAGGAACGAAGGGAAGCACUUAUUCACAAACUGUGUCAGCUUGCAAACUUUCUGUACAGUUCUUCCCUUUUCUCCACGAUGUGGGAACAAGAAGUGACUGAUGUCCCUUGGAGUUCGGGUGCUUGCCCCAGCUCCGGAGGACGGCACAGAUCCAUCACUACACCCUGGCAGUGCUGUUUUGACCUUAGGGCAACUCCUGUGCCAGAGGCUCUGCUGCUGAGCUCCUGGACUGGCUGCGGCCGGAGCACGUUUUGUCAGAAGGGUCCCACGUUCUCAGUGGGAACAGAAGACGGAGGGUGGAUAAUGAGCAGAGCUGGAAGGUGAGAGUUGUUCUGUAGUUCAGCUCUCCCUUGGCCAAAUUCCUGCUCCUUCUUGAUGUGCCUGGUUCUUAUGUAGAGUCAGUCCUCAAUUUCCUUUCAAUUAGAGCUCCAUCCUACUUUUCUGUCCCUUGCAGUUUGUGGAGUUUUAUCGUCUCUCAAUUCUAUUUCAGCUGCGUUUUUUUUCCCUUUGCUUUCAUGACUCAGGACUUUUUUCCUCUUUUCCUCAUGCUAUGUCAUUUCUUCUGGCUGGAGCAGUGUCCUCCUUUUCUGAAAGGAAACAUCAGUCCUGCAGGAGGAUUAAAGGAGAGUUUUAAAUAAAUUCCCAGGGAGUCUCAACCCUUUGCAAAAACUGGAAGAAAGUGGCAGUGAGUUUCAAUUAUUUGAGCUUUAUUUCUGCACAGUAUAAUGUAAUUCAUAAUGUUAUCAAUAUCUGUAAAAGCAGAAGAGGCAGCUGCAGGAGUUACGAGAAAAAACCAACUUAAUGAAAUCAAAAGCACAAUUUAACUUCAAAACACGUAGAAGGGGAGGAAGGGCCGGAGUGAGCAACACGAAUCAGAAUCACAAAUCAGAGCUAUUCUGGGAGAAAACAACUUUGGAAAGACUCAAAAGUGAAGCCAGAAGAUGGAGGAGGUCCCCCAAAGCAGCAAAAGGGAAGCUCGUCGAAGCCAGUUCUGGGUGGGUUGGGAGCUGAAGAGGUAGGGAAUGUUAAGGAAUUCUGAUUUAUAUUGUGUGAAGAAAGGGGAAAAAAAAUAAUCACAAACUUUCCUCUGGGUAAAGGGGAUCAGAGGAGCACAGUCAGUUGGACUAUAUUAAGGAGACAGUGUUUAAAAAAUAAACAAACAGCCCUGCGGCUUUCUCAUCAAACCUCCUCUGCCUUCAGAUAACAGAAGUCCAAACUAUAAAUCUUAAAAAAAUCUCCUUCGGUCAAAAUGUGGACAAAAUAAAGCCCAGGUUCUCCUUUAGAGUUAGUAAAUGUGUCAGAGGUGAGAUGGUAGCGCCUCUUCUCCUUUAAUGGAACGUGAUUAAAACCGUGGGGCUUCAUUUCCAUACCACUUGGAAAGCAAAUAAUGACAUAGAGAACAACAUCCGUAAGGUGCUGCGUGCUCCAUUCUUAGCACUGCGUUUCCUACCAGCUCCAGCUGCUGUUAGCAGGAUCAAGAUCUGGGUGACUUCUGUUUCCCCAGAAGGGAAAUGCUUCUGCUGCCAGUGGAGAGCAUCAGCCUGUGGCAGCAUGAGCACAGUGCCUGGCAGGCUGAGAAUGGUCUGCUUGAAGUAAAAGCAGAACUGCGUGAGAUUUUUGGACAUCAAUGAGAUAAUGACAAUUACAGCCAGGAAUUACACAGCAUUUGUUUCUUUUGUCACAGGGAUGACUCCAUUGUUUGCCCCGAAAACUGUUUUCAGGUUAUUAGAAUCUGUGUAACUUCGAGCAUGUUGCUUUUUGAGUUUAUUUCGUUGACUGAAAUGAUAAUUUGCAUCAGUUCUCGUGUGUGGGAAUCACUGCUUCAUUGCAUAAUAAAACUGUUUCCUUAAACAUUCUGCCUAAGGACUGUGCAGCGUUAUGGGUUGUUACAGCUGAAAUAAGGAGCGCUGCUUCUGGUUUAAAAAGACUCGAGAUGUGAUGAAGUGAACGCAUCUUUCCUUGCAGCUGGUGAGACAAAGGCUGCUGCUUUGUGUUCCCGGUUGGCUGAAACCACAGAUGAAACUGGAUUUGUGAUUGGAUCGGUAUUUCAGGUUAUUCCUGAUUCAGAUUUACUUGGACCUAGCAGUAACUCCUUAUUUUCUUUUGCUAGUGAAAUAUUAGGCACUUAAGACUAAUGCAUGUUACUAAUAUUAGGGCAUUCGAGACCUUUCUUCCAUGUCAGAUAAGCAGAUCCUUGGUUUGUCUUUCCAAAGCCCAGGUGUUUAAUUUGGCUGUUGUAUUGCCGCAGUGCCACCUCAGUGGGCUGAUUCAUUCAUGUUUCGGUUCCUUCCCAGUGCUCUUCCACAGAAGCAGUGGAAUUGGGGGUCGCUGUCUCAGGGCUGGGAAGCAGAGAACGCAGUCUGAACGCGCCCUGAGAGGCCCCAGUGUGUGCAGGUCUGUGUUCCCGGCCCCACAGACCCCUGGUGUAAUUCCCAGCUGAUGGGAUACCACCUGGUAAUGGCAACUGCUCCUGCGUGGUUCUGCUAGCCGUAAUAAGGUGCACAUUGUAUACGAUAAAAACAGCUCAGCUUUAUUACCUGGCUUGCAUGCCUGGUAAUGAAUAGAAGGAAGGCUCUCUCCCUCACGAACAGCAAAAUUUAAUAUAGUCUCUUCCUGGAGUUGCACCGGUGGGACUAAAAGUUUAUCUCAGCAUUCCAAGGGCAAUAAAAAUCUAAAUUUAAACUCGGAAUGUCUUACUGGGGCAAGAGUGCCCAGAGGCUGUGUACUCUUCCAACUUUGUUUAGGUCAUAACUGCUUAUGUAAAGUUAGUUUAUACCAGCUAGUUAGGUUUUAUGUCUUUGAGCACUGUCUUCAUUACGAAGGAGAGACGUAUCAAGUGCAGGGGGUGCAUAUGAAAGUUCAGCUCUGCUUUACUAUUGCAUUUAAUUUAGUUUCUUACUGCUUAGUGCUUGGCUACGUGAAGAAAUCCCUAGCUCUUAACCUUCACGUUACAGAUGCCUUUAAAGUCUAUUCUGAUUCAUUCCUGUAGUUAGACACCUCGGAUAUUUGGAGUUUAUGGUUAAUAUGAAGGAGCAGUGGAAAAAGAUACCUGGUGAAGGCUGCCAUGAGCAGGGAAUCUCCUGUUAGCUGUGGUUGCAGGUUGGAAAGACUGACUACAGAAAGUAAGCAGAUGCCAGCUAGUGGGCUCUCGGAGCUUCACUGGCUCAGCGGUGGCUUGUUCUCUUGGCCCAUAGUUUUAAAGGUGGGAAGCAGAGAGACUCAAAUGCUGUUUCUGCAGCAUGAAUACGAGCAAGACAGGAUGAGGAAAUCAACUGGAGGUUUUCCUGAGGUCGUAUCUGGUAACCAGGGCAUUCAACAAGCGCUGUGUGAGAUUGUGAGUCACUGCUGCCGAUGUUCUAAGAUCCUCAUGAGCUGUUUUCAGUUUGGAAAGUGAGAGCAUAUUGGCGUUAGCCACCACAAAGAGGAGAUGGAUGUGUGGAGGGGGCAGUUCUGGUGACAGAACUUGAGAGGAAGGAGCAUUCUCACUUAGUGCUGCUUAGCAGCCAUUUCCAUCUCUGCACGUGCUUCCACAGAGCAGGCAGGGAGGAAGUGAAGAGAGCAGGUUUAAAGUUCUCAUGGUUUCUAGGUGACUGCAGUCAAUAAAGGGUGUUCAUGUACCUCAUAGAAUCAUAAUCAUCAAGUCCAACCGCAACCUAACCAUAGUACCCUAACUCUGACAACCCUCUGCUAAAUCAUAUCUCUGAGCACCACAUCCAAACGGCUCUUAAACACAUCCAGGGAUGGUGACUCAACCACCUCCCUGGGGAGCCUAUUCCGGUGCUUAACCACCCUUUCUGUAAAGAAGUGUUUCCUAACGUCCAACCUAAACUUACCUUGGUGCAACUUCAGCAGGUCUGUUUGCUCUGCUCAUUCUUUGAGGUAGUUGUGCUACAGAGAGCAUGCUCCGUAUCUUUUAGAUACUUGAUGUGAUGACAGGUAAGGAAUUAAGUGAAUCAGACUGAAUUUACAUAGGUAUACCUCUUGUUCUUCAGUAAAGGUGAGAAAAUAAUGUUUUUCUGUGUUGGAAAACUGAUGUGCGUGUGAUCUCCAAAACUGGCAGUCCUUGGAACUGUGCAUUGGUGAAAAUAAGAGAAAAUAGUUGAAGAUCAAUCCUUGCUUUUUAUGGAUAUCAGGACAUAUUUCCAAAUCACCUUAUAGAAAUCACCUGAAAAUGUUCUGACUUCUUAUUUCUUCUGUCCUCACAGCCACUCCCAUUUUUCCAUCAGCCGCUGCUUUAUGUAUAUUUGUCAGUUCUCUCUGCCUUCCCCGGUCUGCUUGGAUUUCCUUUCAUCUCUUGAUAUCUGCUUCACUACAACUACUGCACCCUUCUAAUUUCCAGCGCUUCUGGUGUUUGCUGACAUUCAGCCAUUAGCACUGCUAGUUCUUCUUCAGUCUUGUAAUAGCAUUAAAAUGCUUUUACAGCCCUUUGUUUGUGCACUGAAAUCCCCACUGGUCGGAUUUCUUUUGGUGGGCCGAUAUGUGGGAUUUCCUCUGAGGUCUGUUGGUGCCCAGGCUUCCAACCAACAGAGCCACAGCUGACUCAGCGUGCUUAGAAAUUGCCACGUGCUCCAUCUUCUCCUUGGGUCUCCUGCUCAGCACCUCCAUUCACACACACUGUACUCAGAGUUCUGCUGUUAAUUUUAUUACAACAUUUUCCCAACAUUGCUCAUCUUCACCGUUCUGCCGGUGCUGCUUUCGGCAAUGAGCAAACAUUGGUUAUUCAUACGUUCCAUUUUGCAAGUCAACUUAUUACCCAGUAGACCUGUUAUGGUCACUAUGGCCACGUGAGAGCCUUCCAAACAAAAUGUUGCUGUGUUCGAUUGGACAAAUAUCUAGAAGUUUCUGAUCCUUCCCAAAUAUAUUUAGAUUUCUAUGACAAAAAAGAUUUUUGUUUCUCUCAUUACAUGCAUUAUUUUUACUAACCCUAAUUCUGUAAGAGCAAUACAAACUACGUAUUUUUUUACUAAAACGGAACAUGAGUUACAGCCUUUGAGCUGCUCUGGAAUAUAGGUGCUUCCUUUAAACUCUCAAAUGAUGUUACUUCUGGGAGCAAGAACCUUAUUUCUUCUCUGUGACACUUUGUUGUUCAGCUGCCUUGAAAGAGCCGUUUAAGGCGCUGAUUGUUUCUGAUGGUGAUAGCAGUUGCUGCGGAGAAAUACAUGGCUGUGGUUUGAAGAUGAAUAUAUGGCAUAAAUUAUAGCACGAGUAACUUUCCUGUGAUGUGUUAGGCUUCUCCCAUUUGUUUCACAAAGGCACAUAAACAAUUCUAUACUGCUAUUUUAAGUUGGCAUUACAACCGAGUACUCAUCUUUUCUUACUUGCAUGGCUUGCAAUUACAUUUUGAAUUUCUUCAUAAAUAUGAUGUAGUCUUUAUACUGAGUGUUCUUCUCCAUCACUUCAGUGAUUUAUUGUUACUCACGGGACAGUUGUGCUAUAGCAGCUCCUUAUGUUUGCGAACUUACUACAAAAGUGCAAGCAUUUAGAAUUGUGCAGAUGUAGCUGUGUGCCCAAGGCUGCCUGCUUAAACAUCCUGCUGACCACAUGCAUGUUUUGCAUGAUUUGAUCCUACCCAUUGACUGUAUGCAGACGUGGUGCAGUGUAGGAGGCUACAAACAUGGACCUCAGAAAAGGUAUAGAGAAAACAAAGUUAAUUAUUGCUUGCCAUUGAACACCGUAGAAGUACCAGCAGAGGAAAAAUAAUCGGCUUCAAUAUGUUUAUCCUUAAAAAAGAAAAAUAGUCUUAUAAUGAUUAACUUUUGACAUGUAAGUCCUUUGUAGGUCAUUAGUGGUGUAGCUGUGCAUAUAUGUGUCUGCUUCAGAAAACAGUUUGGUCCAUAAUCUCAUAAUGUUGAAUUCUACCUGGCAGUUUUAUUCGAGCUUAAUUUCUUUUUCUUCUAAUGCUGUUAGCUGGAGAGUUAUGAGACAGGCAUCAGCUGAAAGCACCAGGGAAGGACAGGUAUUGGCAGUGGCAUAAAAGCAGAAGGGGAGGAAAAAGAAUAGCUAUUGUAGCAUUUAUCAGUAUUCUGCUAAUAGUCUGCUCAGACACAACUCUGGAAUAAAACAGACGUUCAUACUGCAAUUUCUUUCAAAGGUUGGAGCUAUUCAUCUGCAGCGUUACAAGACAAAAGUCUAAACCUUCCAGACAUUAUAGUAUAGCUGUUCUAUUGAAUUGUGUUAAGAAGGAGAAACCUUAGAAGCUGUUCCCAUAAGUGUAAAUAUUCUACAUUGCCUUUGGAGGGCAUGUGAAUGUGGGCAACUGACUUUCCUAGAAUGCACUUCUUCAGGUAGUUGAUGCCUUUACACGUGAAAAGAAAACGAUCUGUAGCCCAGUAUUGGAGGCAAGUAAGGGAGAGAGAGGCAAGAGGCUUUUCAUGUUGGCCUCGAUUGACCAUCCAGUGAAGUGUAAGAAGGGCUCUUGUUGGUUUCUGUAGGUUCUUUGUCGUCAUUUCAGCAAAGGAGCACUGUGUGCAGCCAGGUGGAGAGCGAGGGAUCCAAGUGCCAUGUUCCCUAAUGGGGGGAUGGCUCCAGGCCUUGCUGCAUGGAGAGCUGUACUGGCAAACCUGUGAACUCCAACUUAAGGGGGGGGAAAUGGAAAGCAACAAAAAAGUGGAGUACCCAGCUGCAUGGAAAUAGGAGGAAUGUCUGCUGCUUCAAACAAAUUUCCAGCCUUCUGGAGGUUAUUCUCAGCUGAAGUCAAUGGAAAGGAGUAAGUAGGCUUGUUUUGUGUCAGAUAAACAGGUACGAGAAGGCCUGAGAAAUGAACUUAGCACUCCAUUUUGGUGAAAAUUUCUGGCAAGUAAAAUGUGUAGAUGAAAUGAGAUUUGUUUCCUCCCAGCCAUUUGUAAGAGAUUUUGCCACGUUCCUUUUUCACCCAGUUUUAUGGAUGACAUUGAGGUGUGGUUUCCACUGUCUUGAAGUCUGAAGAGCAAAUUUUUCUCUCUUUGAAAGCUGCUGCAAAAGGAGAAACUCUUCUAAUUAUGAACAAAGACUGUAACAUUUAUCAUUAAAAAGCUAAAACAGAGACUCAUUUACAAGAGAAUAAGCUUUGUCAAGUGCACUUUUGUAUUGGAAUAUUCUGAAAAAAAUCUCUCGCUGAAGAUUUUUAAAGACAGAAGCAUAGGAAGAUAAUUUCAUUCUUUGACAUGUUUUACCUUUGCAAAGUUACUGGGCUGCUGACAGGUACAACAAGACGUGCUACGCUUACAUGCUAUUAGUGCAGUAGGCUUUGAAAAAUGUCUAAUGCAUUGGCAUAUCUGACAAUUUAGGGUAUUAGUUAACAGUGAGACUCUGUAAAUAGAGUGAAUUUUAGCUGCAACUGCUGACUUGAGCGUUCAGUCAACAUCUGCAAUACAGGGCUGAACUAUAUGCAACAAAUAAUGCCAUUUUAUGCUGUGGAGAUGGAAGCUGGCAUUAUAUGCCGUGUAUGGCUCAGUCUGAGAGUGGUGGUAAUUGCAAUAUAUUGAAGUUUUGCAUUGUAAUAAAAAUAGAGACCAUUAGUGGAUACCAUUUAUGUCAUUAGUAUUUAGUGGCUGUGUGUUGCAGCUUUUUUAGUGCUCAUAAAACUGUCUCUGCUUGCAGAUAUGUGACAGCACUGAUAUAAAUUUAAAUGUUUGGAAAUCCAUAAGACAUAAAAUAUAGAUAGUAAAUAGGGGCAUAACACUAUAGACAAAAACUUAAUGAUUUGGCACACAAAUGUUUAUAUAUUUGCAUGUCUAAUGCAGCGAUUAGCAUAAUGGUGAUCACAUUUGUACCAUGGAAGACCUUGAUUAGCAGACAACAACAACAAAUAAGGUAAAACUUAAGCACGUUGUACAAAAGCAGUAGAGAAUUCGUUCAGGUUGCAAAUCAGAGCUUUAAUGUUGGAAGGUGCAUCCUCUACAUAUGUUUGGUGGGACACUGGUUUUCCUUCUUACAGGCUUUAUUAGUAACGACACCUGUUCCACUAGCUAGUAGUAUUACAGUUGUUCCUAAGAACUGAUUAUAAAAAAUAUAAAAUGUGAAAGGGAAUGAAGCAGUUAAGGAACACUGGGAUUGAGGUUGGAUGGUGCUUCUUUAAGAACAACGGAGCCAGCCAGCAUGGGGAAGAUUAACCAAUGUUCAGACCAGAGCACCAACACCUUGUCAGGAACUUGGCUGGCAGCAGAGCUGGCUGAGGAAAGACAUCUUUGUAGUGUGGGGAUGGGACGAGUCCAGGAACACGGCCCGGGGGGUUGCACUGAGUGCUGUAUGCUAGCCAAACGUUACAGGCUGUAUUGUUUGGAAUUCCCAGUGUAAGAUUUUCAUUUAAGGAAUCCAAGAAAUUCAGAAGCCAGAUCUCCGUGCAGAAGUUCUCUGGGAAAGCCAUCCUCUCUCCUUGAUUUCAGGAGUGCCCGUUUUCAGUUGUUCUCAGUUGUUUGAGAGCUUCCCACCAUGGCUGAUUUGCCUCUAAAAGAGGAGUGCUUUGCUGUCUGUUUUUUCUCUCUGAAAGUGAUGGAUUUGAAGCAAGAGGUUCUGAGACUUUUCUUCUGUACACUCUGUCCAUGCCGUCUUCAGCUCUGACCUUUACAUCCCAGAAACUCACAGGAGGUUGGUCACAGAACUCUUGGGGGAUUUGGAACUCAAAUCGUGCCACACUGAAGAGAGAACACAGAACAAUAAAAAGAUCUUCAGUCAUUUGGAGCGAAGGACAGGAAGCGCCGUUAGAAAAAGCAUCUUUCCAAUUGCAUUUCCUUCCAGUGGAAGGUUUUAUCAACGUUUUUAGUUUGAUGUGUGUAUUAAUGCUUAACACUGAGCAUUAAGCAACAUUAGGUUCUGCUUCAGAAGAAAAAAAAACCUUUGGAACAUGUGAAUAUUUCCACUAAACAAUAAGAAGUGAGCAGGGUGGGGAAGAUGAUGGUAUAAAUGGUGGGUAUGAACAUGUGCAGAAAGCUUGGGGCUCACGUUAAUACAUGUUAAGGUUAGACAAUUGGGUGCUUUUCAGGAGCUCAAGUAGUAAGCAGAAGUGAGACAUAAGCCUUCUAUACAGUGAAUGUAAGUAUUUCAGUGUCUCUUACGGUCUAAUUAUGGGAAGUGUUACAGUGGAAGUCUUAUUGCUCCUUUACGAAAUAUGUUUUUGUCUGUUUAUCUGUCAAAACAGACUGAAGCGUAAAUCUCUACGACGUUUUCGGCCUUUGAAGCAUUCAGUGCAGCUAUUUAUAUUCACAUAGAUUCUGAAAUCUUUUUGAAACUUUGUGCUUCUGAUUGCAGAAUUCAGUGUCGCUUCUUAGCACGUUGAGUGCUGACGGCUUUGAACACACAGUGACAAUGUGGCUGUGAGCACCGCCCUGCUGAGAGACAUCUCUAAAGGAACAGUGAUUUUUAUGUUGAAGGUUUUGGUUGAUUUUCAGAAUUAGGGGAAACAUUGAAGUGCAUAAAAAAUGUUUAAUUCUCCUGUACACCACUAAAUUGCUUGUUGCUUUAUAUAUCCAGCAGAUACAUGAGAGCAGAGACCACUUUCUGAAGCCAUUCUGUGCAAAAGUUUGUACUAGAACUACUAGGGGAUGGAAAUCAUAAUACAGCUGAAGAGGUGAGUUUUGAAGUAGAGACUUGCGUAUGCCUGACUGGAUCUGUGCCCACUUAUUAAAUGCACAUGUAAAGGUAGCAUAUAUAUUAGAAUGAUUUUAAGAGCAGUCCUUUAAAUGCUAUUGCAUCGUAAGGCAGAAGACCUUUUGGAUUUCUAGGAAAAGGUGGGCGAAUCUGACAGAAUGCCCAACUUCAGGUAACGUGCACUGGAGUAGUUGUACUAACUGUAGUUACCAGAAGGUCCUUCAUGACAUCCCCAUGUAGCAUACUCUGUUAAACAGGACAUGCAGAUGUGAUGUUUUGAGUUGGAAAUGAAUGUUGAAACGGUGGUAAGUAUCUAUUGGACUAUAUAAACAAAUGGUCUAUUCUCACAUAUGUGUUGUCUCUUACUGUAUUUUCUUAGAUCUGUUUUUUAGGUUCACUUUUGCUCUGCUAGGUGAUACUUGCUGUAAAGUUGCUCUCUUGUACUUCCUCAUAUCUUGCGGGUAGACAGCGUAUCAUCCCUGGUUCUUAUGGGACAGUCAGCCUUAUUAGGUUACCCAAAUUGCUACAGGUCACAGCUGAGAUGUAUUGCUGGAAUUUAAUAGGAAAGCUUGCCCAAUACAGACUCAGCUGUUCUUACUGCUUGUUAUUGCUUUCAUGAGAAGCACAGGAGAUUAUUGAAAGAUAUGUUUAUAAAAUAUACAGUGCAGUACAGCUACACACUAGCUUUAUGCCAAAUUAGGUCUUGAACUUGAAUGGAUUCAGGCAUCUACUGCAGUGUAGAUUACAGUUCUCUGUGUGACCUCACACAUGUAGGUUGGCCUCCUCCUGGCUUAUUUAAUCCAUCUGCAAAAUGGAGAAAAACAAGUACUUCAGUGGAAAAACAGGUACGCAUCUGGGCCCAACUGUCCUGGGUAAAUAAAUUACAGAUAAGGCAGUGGCUCAACUGAAGGGAUAAUAAAGAGGAAAUGCAAGUCUCUUUGUCUUCUACACACAUUUAUCAUUAACCUAGUGGUGUGCUGCGUUUAGAUUUAUUGGCUGUGUUUAGUCUCACUGGACUUCCAGCAGAACAGCUGUGGAGUCAUUGGCUUUUCCUGCAAUUCAGUACACCAGGAGCGCUGUGCGGUUUGUCUUAUCGGAGGGAACCGAGGCAGUGGGUUUGAGUGACUUGUGAAUGAAUCAAUAAAGCAUGUUCCCAUAGGUUUCUGAAUUGUCUCAUUCAUUAAGAACGGAAUUGGGCAGUGGAAGAUUGAUUUUUUUUUGUGACAAAUCAGCUAUUUUUUUUUUUCCCAGCAGACCUUCAUUUAGACACUGGAUUUCUGGAAUCACAAAGCUUCAAAAACAUUGUGCAGCUUUUAAACUGCAAUGAGAAUUGUGGUAAAUAGUUUAAAUGUCCCAUUUCAGAACACUUUUGAGAGCUCAGAAUGACAUGAGAGCUAUCUUUAGCAAUCCCAAUCAGCUGACUUAAAUUGGUGGAAAGGUGCUGAGCUGCCACAGCUGAGGGAUGUAUCUCACAGAGCAUCUGAUGCAUGCAAGCAAGAGAUACUUGGACAGAGAAGCAUUCACAAAGAAGUGUUACCCAUUGUCUAAGGGUGUAACUGAGGAUCGUGACUUUGUAUAUCUUAAUGGCUUAUGACAGCUCUGGACAACUGUGAUGUGUGGUAUAAUAUAUUCUGCUUCAAAUGCAGUCAUGCCUCAGAAGCAUCAAAGUAAUUAUUAUAGGUGUGGAACCAGUUUAAUUUUUGGCAGAGUUGUUUUAAAUUUACUUAUCUUGUGCUUGGUAACCACGUGUCUGUGAAACUCUGAAAGAACCUACCUCUACAAACGUGUUUAUAUGAAAAUACUUCACCUGCUUGGCACAUACAGGCUACUUGGGUUUCACUUAAGUGAGUGACGGUAUGCAUUUAGGUUGGGGAAUUCACAGGUGGUGCAAUGUCCAUCCUGGAACCUGUGCUUUAAGUGUGCAUGUGUGAAUUUCCAGUGUUUUGAACCAAUGCUAAUUUCACACACGGGCUGGGGACGGAUAGGGGCAGUGCUGCUUAAGCAGUUCCUAAUUUUUAUUUAUUUAUUUUUUAAGUCCAAUCAAGUAAGAAUUUGGAACUGUCAGACCCUGAAGGAGCCAGGGAAACAGGGAUAAGCCAUAGUGCUGAGCCCAGACAAAAAUCAGCUGAAUCAAAAUCAAGAACAGCUUCAACAGUUAAUCUUCUAAACACUGUGCUUUAUUAAGAACUCAUAAAUUGCCAGACAUUACUUUUUACAUUCUUACUGAUGUAAGAUGUUGGCUAGCAAUAAGUUGCUACAGUAUUCCAAAACAAGCCUAAACCACAUAAGUUAUCAUAAUAUAUAUAUUCUCACCUGCUCUAUAUACUUAUCUUGCUUUACAUGCCCACAGAAGAUAAUAGUAUUAAGCAGUAAUUCUCUUGAGAGGCAGUUACAUUAGUUUUCUAGUAAUGACUAUUUAAGAAUUGAUUCGUGUUACCUAUGUAUAAAGUGUUCGGGAAUCAUUUGUUGCUUGGAGUCAGCCUGAGUCUUGAUUCUGGCCUGUUGUUCUCUCUUGGGGGACAGACAUUCUUCCUAGUUGACUGUAGGAGCAUGCAGAGUUAUCCCCGAAGGAUGCCAAUAAAUGUUACACAUAAAAAGAUAUGUGCAGUAACAGAUGCUGGUGGUACAGUGCCUUAGGUGGGUGGAUUCUAGUUCACUUUUCUGUUACACAGUCAUAAUUUGUGCUACUGCUUUUGUACUGUUGUGUUGCAAGCCUCACUGGUCCAGGACUUAUUGAGAAUGGGUGAUCUUUGUAGGAUACAGAGGUCUAAGGUAACAGAAAUCUGAAUAGUUUUUCAGAGCUUAGCAGGAGGUGGGCUGCCCUGUGUUUUAGGUGGGCAUCUUUCCCUUCAAAGCGGAGCAUCAGUUUUUGCAGGGUGCCUCAUACAGAGCAGGCAGUGAAGCUGCAGCUGCGCGCUCUGUCUCAAAUAGGGCAUUCCUUAGUGGGGAUGAACAGCUGCUGUUUCUGAGGAGCUUUCCUAAGCAGUGUCUUAAUUCUGUCUUUGAUGUCCAGAGAAGAACACUGCUUUUGCCUUAUAGGAUUCUCUGGAGAAAAUAAUAAUCUAAUAGCCAUAAUUAAGGGUCUGUCACACGAGAGACUGAGAGGAGUAAGAGACUGAUCGUUAUUCAUUGCUGUGUUUAUAGAAGAGCUUACGGCUUAUACAGCUCUCACUGGAGAUGAACUGAAAGCUGUCACUCUGGGGACUGUUUUUGCACUACCUAAAGGUGAAUUGCUGGAUGUUGUUUAUUUUGACUUUCGCCAAAUCUGUUGUAAAGAAGGCUCAGAAACCAAAGGUGGUAUUCGUUCUUACUCAAGAAAAACAUCCAUUAAAAUUAGCGUGCAUUUUGUCGAAUGAGGGUGGUGAAACUAGUCCAGAAUGGAUGUGUUUAGAAAAAAAAAAAAAUUAUCAUUUUAAAAGUUGUGUGAUUAAGUGAGAGAAAAUGGAAUAUGUGGUGAGCUCGUUGCUUUAAAAAUAUAGCUGUCCCUCACAGCUACGGGCAUGUUCUUUCCAUGUUAAACUUUUCAUCAUUUCCCUGCGAGAGUGUCUCAGGAAGGAAUGGACUUGGACCAGGUCAGGAGGAGAGCACAGCAGAUAUACCUGGCUCUGGAUUCUGGUGAGUCCUUCAAGGUAAGAAGACAUACUAGAGACCUUCAUGUAUGCAUGCUAUUGCUUGCAUGUUUCUGGGUGGCAGAAAUGCUACAACCUCCGAUGUGUCUAGCUCCCUCAUGGCACCAAGAUAGGGAAUACCAAAGCACUGAGCAGCAGAGAAAAGGUAAAAUCAUUGGCUGGGGGUGGGAGUGACAAACUGAGAAGCAUAACUGGGCUUCUCAAUUGUGCUUUGGAGUGUGAGGUAAUAAUGCUAGUGUGAACUGGUAAUAGUAAUAGAUUUUUCAGGUGCAGAUUAAGAUAUCAAGCCUUUCAGAAAGGUGUAUUUGUCUCAGUAUGUUCGGGGGAUCGAGAUGGAAGUGACUGAGUAAAAACACGAUGUAGGAGGUCAGACCAGAAUGUCUUUAUGGUUCCAUCAGCUCUUAAUGUUUUAAGAAAGUUAAACUGAAACCUUUCUUUGCUGGGGUUUGAGUAGCACAUCUCUGUAGAGCUGUAAAUAUCUCAAGCUCAAGGGGCUUUAAAGUUUUAAAAGAGACUGCAAUGUUUGCGUCAACUCGUGUUUUACAUUAGAGGACAGCUGCCCUUAUAAUCCUUGGUUGUGUAAUGGAGAAGCCAAAUCGUGGACGUGAGCAGUUAAAAAAGGCAUGUGCAGUGGAUGAAAAGGAGAUCCAACGAAUAUUAAAAACCAUCAAGCUGUCACUGAAGGACAGUAACGUCUUUUGGCUUUCUUCCAGAACGUGCAAUCAAAGCCCUUGUGUAAAUCCUACAUAAGUGAGGGUCUGAGGGAGCAGGGAGUAAAUCCUUCCCAAUGAACCUGGACAAAGGUAAGUGUGAUACUGACAACGUGGUCACCUUGUCCAUCUGAAGCUUUUGUUCCAUCCCUGAUGAAAUUUGAACAGAACAGGAAAGUAAGAAAUAAAAACUAGAAAUGAAGAAGAAAAUCCAGAAAAACUUUUUCUCCUGUCCUUUCUCCUCCUCCAUUAAGACUCAUGUGGGAUGUGUGUAAGCUGAGGAAAUGUAAACAGAAGUGGUCCCUGAUGAGUGAUAACCACUACUGCAAUGCUAUAAGGUGCAGUAGGAUUAAGGGCCUUUGCUGCAAUUCCCUGGGAUGAAGUAAUGUCACUUCUUUCUGAAUACAAAUAUUUGAUGAAGUUUGUCCUGUGGAGCAAUAGUUUGUUAGAACAGAAGACCCAAAUGACACUGUUGAACUUUAGGCUAUUUUAAUGUGUUUUUAGGCAGAAGUUUCAAUCAGUAAAAUUGUUUAUUUUAACUUUCUGUAUGGAGAAAUAGAGCGUUUCAAUCCAGUAGAUCAUGUUAAAGAAAAAAAAUUACCCAAACCAAAAUUCUUUUGACAUUUUGUUUGUGGAAACGUGAAGUUGCUUGGGCAUUUGUAGUGUUUUGAGAUUACCUCCUCACCUACACAGAACACUUUGUUACUUCCCAGUUCUGCCUUACAGGUUCAUGGUUUGGCGUGGUCCACAGUUGUCACAAGAAUCAGCUGAAGACCACAGCAAUAUCUUUGUUGUUUACUAUCAUAUUCUAAAUACUAAACAGACAAAUAUUCUCAGAGAGGUUUGACAGCUGACCUGCAGACCGUACACAGCAUUUGCUUGUCUUUAAGCUAUUGGUAUUUCUGUGAAGAUAUAGUUCAUUAAUUAUUAUUUUUACUGAUGUUCAAUUGAUGUCUUAUUAAAUAUAAAUCAUGUUUGGGAAUAAUAAUUUAAUGGGACGAGUCAGAUGAGAAUCCUCCUGAUAGUUUAUAAUGAAGCUUCACGUUAUCGAUAAUUCUAAGCUCAUAAAUUAUUAAGGAUGGAAAAAAAAAUGCAACUGUUCUAAAAUAAGCUAUGAAAAUGUGAAGUGGUGGUGAACAGACACAGCGUGCUGGGACUGCUGCGUGACAACGUGUGUUUGGCACUAAGUCAUGUAAGUCAGAACCACUUCAACGUCUCCUGCUCUUACCAAAACAUUUCAUAUUUAAGCAGGUAUCUUCCCCUUGUAUCCCAUUAUUAUGCUGCACCAUUCUGUUCACAGACAUUUUGCAUUGCCUGGGAAAACUGUUAAUUUAAUACACUGAGCUGACCCCGGAGGCACUGAAACGACAUGGCAGCAGCAGUCUGGAGUGCUGCAGUAUAUCCUGCUGUUAACAGCUGGGGAGACUGUGCACUUUUCUAGACAGUUGUCUGAGAGCUCUUUAGGGACAAGUGAGGAAGCUGGCUGUUUGACCACACUGUCAAGGAGGGUACAUCCUGUCCCUUAGCAUCUUUCCUCUUUUCCAUGGAAGACAGAUUUCCCAGUCGCUCCUCUGAUUUUCUCGAAGAGUUGGCAACAAAACCAUUGGUCUCCUUCCUACAAGAAAGAAAGAAAGGAGUAAAAACCCUCAGGUAAGAAAAGAAGGAAUAUACGGAAGCAGAAAAUUCUGUUUGAAACAGUUCUUUUCUUAGGAGAAAAGAGGUGAUAUAUCAUGGAAUAAGUGGUACUGCCUGGUGGAAAAACCCUUUCAAAAUGUCUUUGUUUUUCUUUACCAACGUACACUUAUUUUUACUUAAUAUUUAACUUAAAAGCUCUGGUUUGGGUUUUUUGUUUUGUUUUAUUGGAUCUCCAGCAUCCAGUGAAGUACUUCAGAGAUCCAAAACAACCAUUCCUUGAGUAACAUCAAAGCUAUCCCAGCCUGUAAAGACGGACCAAAGUCCAGGGAAGUAUUCGAUAUCUCUAUUUUCUACUCAGUCAGAAUUGUAGAAAUUCAGCAUUUCUUAAAAUGCUGCUGUUAAUUUAAGGAAGUCACACAGCAGGUCAGUGCAUGUGAAGAAGAUUAAUAGUGAAAAUUAACCUCCCAGUAUUUCUGUUAGUGGAAGUCAGGGAUGCACAGAAUUCUGAAAAUAUGGCCUCCCUGCCAUAGUGGCACACAGAAGUAGUGGUGACACAAGCAUUCAGAUAUGGAUUUUGAAAAAAUAAAAGUUCAAUUAAUUUUUUUAGCACAUGAACAGGGAGGUGGCUUUGUCAAUGGCUUACAUCUUCACCGAAAACUCUAUUCCAGGGAUUUGAUGAAUACUGGAUGGCUGAAGGAUUGCAAGCUAGAAAUUGGGCUCAAUAUAAUGUUCAGGGAAAAAAAAACACACAAAAACCAACAAAAAAUAUGCUGCUUUUCUGAUGAAAGGCCUUGGUUGCUAGGAAGAGUGUAUUCAAGUGUUUGCUUAUGUUUUGUUGGGAUUCUCAUCAGUGUGGCGUAAAUGGCUAACACUCUGCCCUUUAAAUAAUGUUUUCUUAAGUAGUGAAACUAUAACUCAAUGAAGAAAUUGCACUAAUCACCUUUUCUCAAAAGCUGAGAAUUAUGACCUCUCUGUAAUUAAAAUGGUAUCUUUCAAACAUUAAUCUACGGGCUAAUGCAUUUUUAAUAUAUUUUCAUAGUUACAGAUUUUUGAAAUCAACUUGAUUUUGAAAAGAGAAAAUGCUGAUCCCACACAUGCAGAAAGUGUAUCGACCCCAUUGGACCCAUUCUUUUUUUUUUUAUCCCUGAUGUCCAGUGCGGUCUGGUGGAAGUGUUGGCAGUUCCUGUCCAAACAGUUGCUGAUGCUUUUCAGGGAGGGGGAUAUAUUAAGCAAUUGCUUGAGUCAGGAAAUGCCUGUUCGUCCCUCAUCUGCCUCCCACAGGUAGGACUUGGAAGAAGGCCCUGGCCUGCCCUCAUCUCGACACUGUUUGCACACUGCUCAGCUUACUCAUGACCAUUCUGUCAGCACGAUACUGAGGUGAAGUAGAGAAGAACACAGUAUUUGGUAAUCAAAACGAAGGGAGAAACAAAAGAAGAGGCCAGCAAUGCAAGGCAGUUAUUAAGAGGUGUCUUUGCCACUCUUCAACAUCAGCCUGUUGUGAAUCAUGCAGAGAAGGAACAGAAUCCACCACAGCCUGAAUUGACUAAGAUAGGAAAGAACAAGAUGGAUAAUACAGAAAGUUUUGGAGAAGAAGCAUUCCUCCUCUGAAAGGGCAGCAGGCAGGAAGUUCCUAAAUGGAAAAGGAAAAUAUUGUUCUACUUGAACAUCACCCUGGCACUGUCAGAUGAUUCACAGGCCCUGGAGAACACAGACAUUACCAGCUCAGCACAUCUAUAUACCAAUCACCAUUUGUCAUAUGCGAGUACUUCCCACAGUCCUAAAAAAGGAUUGGUUUUGUGUAUUAUUUGCUGGAAAUGUAACAAACUUCAUACUGAACAGCAAAAUAAAAACAGUACUUGAUUGUUU